rnacentral:miRNA from 1 species
AUAUAAUUUUCGGUUAAUUCGGUU